GGGGGAAUAUUGGACAAUGGGCGAAAGCCUGAUCCAGCCAUGCCGCGUGAGUGAUGAAGGCCUUAGGGUUGUAAAGCUCUUUCGGCGGGGACGAUAAUGACGGUACCCGCAGAAGAAGCCCCGGCUAACUUCGUGCCAGCAGCCGCGGUAAUACGAAGGGGGCUAGCGUUGCUCGGAAUCACUGGGCGUAAAGGGCGCGUAGGCGGAUCUUUAAGUCGGGGGUGAAAGCCCAGGGGGCUCAACCCUGGAAUUGCCUUCGAUACUGAAGAUCUCGAGACCGGAAGAGGUGAGUGGAACUGCGAGUGUAGAGGUGAAAUUCGUAGAUAUUCGCAAGAACACCAGUGGCGAAGGCGGCUCACUGGUCCGGUUCUGACGCUGAGGCGCGAAAGCGUGGGGAGCAAACAGGAUUAGAUACCCUGGUAGUCCACGCCGUAAACGAUGGAUGCUAGCCGUUGGCGAGCUUGCUCGUCAGUGGCGCAGCUAACGCUUUAAGCAUCCCGCCUGGGGAGUACGGUC
rnacentral:rRNA from 1 species